rnacentral:misc_RNA from 1 species
GAAAUGCGAUAAGUAGUGUGAAUUGCAGAAUUCAGUGAAUCAUCGAAUCUUUGAACGCACAUUGCGCCCCUUGGUAUUCCAUGGGGCAUGCCUGUUCGAGCGUCAUUUGUACCCUCAAGCUCUGCUUGGUGUUGGGUGUUUGUCCCGUCUCCGCGCGUGGACUCGCCCCAAAGUGAUUGGCAGCCGGCGUACUGGUCCCGGAGCGCAGCACAUGUCGCGCAAACGAGUGCCUUGGUACGGCGGCGUCCAUAAGCCCCUCUCUUACGCUCUUGACCUCGGAUCAGGUAGGGAUACCCGCUGAACUUAAGC